GGACGGGUGAGUAACGCGUGGGUAACCUACCCCAAAGUCCGGGAUAACAGCGGGAAACCGCUGCUAAUACCGGAUGUCUUUACCUUGGGGCAUCUUGAGGUAAAGAAAGGUAACGCUUUGGGAUGGGCCCGCGUCCCAUUAGCUAGUUGGUGAGGUAACGGCUCACCAAGGCGACGAUGGGUAGCCGGCCUGAGAGGGUGGACGGCCACACUGGGACUGAGACACGGCCCAGACUCCUACGGGAGGCAGCAGUAGGGAAUAUUGCGCAAUGGACGGAAGUCUGACGCAGCGACGCCGCGUGAGCGAUGAAGGUCUUCGGAUCGUAAAGCUCUGUCCUUGGGGAAGAAGGUCUUCGGACUUGACGGUACCCAAGAAGAAAGCCCCGGCUAACUACGUGCCAGCAGCCGCGGAAAUACGUAGGGGGCGAGCGUUGUCCGGAAUUACUGGGCGUAUAG
rnacentral:rRNA from 1 species